AAAGCAAGGUGAUUGAGUUGCUACA
rnacentral:siRNA from 1 species